UACGAAGGGGGCUAGCGUUGCUCGGAAUCACUGGGCGUAAAGGGCGCGUAGGCGGCCAUUCAAGUCGGGGGUGAAAGCCUGUGGCUCAACCACAGAAUUGCCUUCGAUACUGUUUGGCUUGAGUUUGGUAGAGGUUGGUGGAACUGCGAGUGUAGAGGUGAAAUUCGUAGAUAUUCGCAAGAACACCAGUGGCGAAGGCGGCCAACUGGACCAACACUGACGCUGAGGCGCGAAAGCGUGGGGGAGCAAACGGGG
rnacentral:rRNA from 1 species